rnacentral:lncRNA from 1 species
UCUGGAGGGCAGGGUUACAGAUCUAGAAACUAAUCCUAGUCGGUUACAAUUGCCAUGGAUAAUUCGAUAUCAAUUCCUAUUCCAACCGACUAGAAUCCUGCUUGAUCUCCACAUCUCGUUUCCUUGCGCGAAACUCCAGGUUGUCGGAUCAAGCCUUGUACUCGUCUCGUAAUGGGCCAAGCCUCCUGGCCGAAGUCUAGCCGUAAGGGUAUAGGGGUUUAUACCCCCACAGCUAGUCCCCGAGCACCAUGUAUUAUGAUGUAACACGCCGUCUUGAGCUUCUUCGAUCAGUGAGGCUUGACGU